rnacentral:rRNA from 1 species
GGCUCAGGAUGAACGCUAGCUACAGGCUUAACACAUGCAAGUCGAGGGGCAGCAUUGGGAUAGCUUGCUAUCCAGAUGGCGACCGGCGCACGGGUGAGUAACGCGUAUCCAACCUUCCCUAUAGUAGAGAAUAGCCCGGCGAAAGUCGGAUUAAUGCUCUAUGUUGUGUUUUGAGGACAUCUGACGAACACCAAAGGUUCACCGCUAUAGGAUGGGGAUGCGUCUGAUUAGCUUGUUGGCGGGGUAACGGCCCACCAAGGCGACGAUCAGUAGGGGUUCUGAGAGGAAGGUCCCCCACAUUGGUACUGAGACACGGGCCAGACUCCUACGGGAGGCAGCAGUGAGGAAUAUUGGUCAAUGGCCGAGAGGCUGAACCAGCCAAGUAGCGUGCAAGGAUGACGGCCCUACGGGUUGUAAACUGCUUUUGCGGGAGGAUAAAGUGCGCUACGUGUAGCGCUUUGCAGGUAUCCCGUGAAUAAGGACCGGCUAAUUCCGUGCCAGCCGCUGC